UUUGGCACUAGUACAUACUUGCUCGGUCCUUGUAUUUCAGCAACUAUGUUUGGUGCCAGAGC
rnacentral:pre_miRNA from 1 species